rnacentral:rRNA from 1 species
AGAGUUUGAUCCUGGCUCAGGAUGAACGCUGGCGGCGUGCCUAACACAUGCAAGUCGAACGAAGCAAUCGGGAUGAAGUUUUCGGAUGGAUUCCUGGUUGACUGAGUGGCGGACGGGUGAGUAACGCGUGGAUAACCUGCCUCACACUGGGGGAUAACAGUUAGAAAUGGCUGCUAAUACCGCAUAAGCGCACAGUACCGCAUGGUACGGUGUGAAAAACCCAGGUGGUGUGAGAUGGAUCCGCGUCUGAUUAGCCAGUUGGCGGGGUAACGGCCCACCAAAGCGACGAUCAGUAGCCGACCUGAGGGGGUGACCGGCCACAUUGGGACUGAGACACGGCCCAAACUCCUACGGGAGGCAGCAGUGGGGAAUAUUGCACAAUGGGCGAAAGCCUGAUGCAGCGACGCCGCGUGAGUGAAGAAGUAUCUCGGUAUGUAAAGCUCUAUCAGCAGGGAAGAAAAUGACGGUACCUGACUAAGAAGCCCCGGCUAACUACGUGCCAGCAGCCGCGGU